rnacentral:tmRNA from 1 species
GGGGGUGUUUUGGCUUCGACGGGGUCAGGAAUGGAUGGAUUUGCAUACCGUGCACGCCUUUACGCACGUUAAUCUCAGGGCAAAACAAUAAAUGCAGAUAACUACGGUUACGCACUCGCCGCUUAAUUAGCCACGAGCGCUGAUACAGAGCUCUCCUGAUGGUUCUGUAAAGGCGUCGACUUAGUCAGGAUAGUUGAUGUUCCGUCAGGGUAACAUCGGUGAGAUAUAAACCCUUGGCUGCAGUCCGGAUGUUAUGAGUUCAGUCAUGAGUCCGGAAUCAAGAAAAAAAACUGAGCUAUGUAUGUAGACGAUCUGUUGGUUUCUACUUCGGACCGGGGUUCGAAUCCCCGCACCUCCACAA